UAAGGAAGCUAUACUGAGAGUGCUCCACCUGUUCCCAUCCCGACCACAGAAGUGAAAUCUCUCAAGGCCGAUGAUAGUCGCAAGGCGAAAGUAGGUAGCUUUCUUAC
rnacentral:rRNA from 1 species